rnacentral:ribozyme from 1 species
ACCGCUCUUCGAUGUACCAAUGGCUGCCCGCCGAGUUCCGUGUGGACCCCCAAGGGAAAGUGUCGAUCGAGAGCUACAUCACGGGGCUGCACCCGAAGCACCACAGAGG